GUGCCAGCCGCCGCGGUAAUACGGAGGGGGCAAGCGUUGUUCGGAAUUAUUGGGCGUAAAGGGCGCGUAGGCGGCCGAUCAAGUCGGGUGUGAAAUCCCUCGGCUCAACCGAGGAACUGCACCCGAUACUGCUUGGCUAGAGUCCGGGAGGGGAUGGCGGAAUUCCCAGUGUAGCGGUGAAAUGCGUAGAUAUUGGGAAGAACACCGGUGGCGAAGGCGGCCAUCUGGACCGGUACUGACGCUGAGGCGCGAAAGCCAGGGGAGCGAAUGGGAUUAGAUACCCCCGUAGUCC
rnacentral:rRNA from 1 species